AUUGAACGCUGGCGGCAGGCUUAACACAUGCAAGUCGAGCGGGGUGAUGGUGCUUGCACUAUCACUUAGCGGCGGACGGGUGAGUAAUGCUUAGGAAUCUGCCUAUUAGUGGGGGACAACAUCUCGAAAGGGAUGCUAAUACCGCAUACGUCCUACGGGAGAAAGCAGGGGAUCACUUGUGACCUUGCGCUAAUAGAUGAGCCUACGUCGGAUUAGCUAGUUGGUGGGGUAAGGGCCUACCAAGGCGACGAUCUGUAGCGGGUCUGAGAGGAUGAUCCGCCACACUGGGCCUGAGACACGGCCCAGACUCCUACGGGAGGCAGCAGUGGGGAAUAUUGGACAAUGGGGGGAACCCUGAUCCAGCCAUGCCGCGUGUGUGAAGAAGGCCUUAUGGUUGUAAAGCACUUUAAGCGAGGAGGAGGCUCUUUUGGUUAAUACCCAAGAUGAGUGGACGUUACUCGCAGAAUAAGCACCGGCUAACUCUGUGCCAGCCGCCGCCGUAA
rnacentral:rRNA from 1 species